GAACGAUGUGUAAUGUCUGUGAUAAGUUACGUAUAAGACGACUCUGAAUGUGAAGUGUUUAGAGAGGGGAUAAGAUAAAAGUGGGGAUGAUGAUAAUGAUGAUAUGUAUUAAUGACAAUAAAAGAAUCAGAGUGUCCUAAUUCAAAAAUUUCUCUUUGUCUAUUUAGUGGUUGCUUAGCUAAAAACAAAAUUAUAUGUUCUGCUAAGUGUUUGUAUGCAGCAGCUUGAAUACUUUCUGGUGCAGAUAACACAAUUGGUUUACCACUAUCACAGCUAUUUGCAAUAUCCUUUGACAAGGGAAUAGAUUGUAAAAUUUGCACACCUAGAAGAGAAGAAAAGUUAAAAGGUGGAGUAUCUAUGACAAGAUAAUCCAAUGGAUUCCAUGCCACUUGAUGUAACAAUUUAUCGAUGGCACUCAUUACCAUUAAUCCUCUCCAAAUUACAGGAGACUUAUCAUCAAUUAAAAAGCCCAUAGACAUGCUAUGUAUAAAGGAAAGUUUUACAGUUUAAAGAAUACUGACAGAAAUACAAGUAAAAUGUGCAACAUUGUUCCCUCACCAUUUGAUACCAUAAUUUAUAAGGGGUUCUAUAAGAUUUGUAUUAUUAACUGUAGGAGAUUGUUGUAUAUUCAUCAUUAACGGAAUAGAUGGGCCAAAUACAUCGGCAUCAAGUAAA
rnacentral:lncRNA from 1 species